rnacentral:rRNA from 1 species
UAAUACGGAGGGUGCAAGCGUUAAUCGGAAUUACUGGGCGUAAAGCGCACGCAGGCGGUUUGUUAAGUCAGAUGUGAAAUCCCCGGGCUCAACCUGGGAACUGCAUUUGAAACUGGCAAGCUAGAGUCUCGUAGAGGGGGGUAGGAAUUCCAGGUGUAGCGGUGAAAUGCGUAGAGAUCUGGAGGAAUACCGGUGGCGAAGGCGGCCCCCUCGGACGAAGACUGACGCUCAGGUGCGAAAGCGUGGGGAGGCAAACAGGAUUAGAUACCCUGGUAGUCCACGCUGUAAACGAUGUCGAUUUGGAGGUUGUGCCCUUGAGGCGUGGCUUCCGGAGCUAACGCGUUAAAUCGACCGCCUGGGGAGUACGGCCGCAAGGUUA